rnacentral:lncRNA from 1 species
CCAAAACGUGAGAUAUCCACACAACUUCAUAAAAUAUCAUCUCAAAUCAUGAUAUUAACAUAAGCUAAUAAUCAUACCAGACUCUCAUCAUAUCAAAUAUACUGAAAAAUCCACCACAAAUGUACCAUCUGACUGAAAUUUGUAAUCCACCCCUCGAGCUAAAAACUUUAACCAUGGGCCUUUGACCCUCUCUGUGAACGAAAGCAGGUCUCAAAGACCUCUCAUAAUCAAUUUUAUAAACGAUCAUGGUCCUACUGUGAACUAUAUGUAUACGGUCAAGACCAAUGUCCUGUCAAGACCCUCCAUGUAGGAUAGAACACGGCCAAGGCCCCUCUGUGAACUAGAAGAAGUAUAAUCAUGAGUGCUUUUCUGGUCGAUCUCAAUAUUACAUGUCUCACAUAUCAGACAAAUCUCAAUAUCACAUGUCUUAUUUACCAAGUCACAAAUGUGCCAUAAAUAAUUUUUGAGAUUCGACAUGAAUCAUAAUAAGAGAAACUUUCAUCGUAAUCACAUAAUGGAGCAAAUAAUUUACAUAAUUGCACAUACUUUGAUAAUAUACUUAAUUUAUAAUUACUUUAAAAAUACUUAUAUUUUUCCACUCACAGAACUAUGCACGUCAAUAUCAACUUGGCUGGUACGCUGCCCCGAUACCCGCAUCACCACUUGAAAUAUGAUAUAAUUUUUAAAUCGAUAAUUAAUUAUUUUAAGUAAUUUCAAUAAUUAAACAGGCGAGAUGCUCAACUUAAUCAUUUCACAUUUGAGCAAUUUCUAAAGUCUAUCUAAUCACUAAAACUAAUUUUUCUUUCAUUUUACUUAAUUUCAUAGUUUAUUAUACUUAACCCCUUCAAUAAAAUUGAAUUUAAUCUAACAAUCAAACAACUAUAAUAUUAAACAUAACUUGACAAUAAGUAACUUUUUACUUACCUUUUGAAAUUGAGGAAUUCAAGCCUAAUAGUAUAACUCGCUUAAUUCCUAACAUAUUGGCAAAUUUUCCUCCUUUUUUCCUUCUUU